UACGGAGGGCGCAAGCGUUCAUCGGGAUUACUGGGCGUAAAGCGCGCGUAGGCGAUUAGUUAAGCUGGAUGUGAAAGCCCAGGGCUCAACCUUGGAACUGCAUUCAGAACUGGCUGGCUAGAGUGCGAGAGAGGGUAGUGGAAUUUCCUGUGUAGCGGUGAAAUGCGUAGAUAUAGGAAGGAACAUCAGUGGCGAAGGCGACUGCCUGGCUCGAUACUGACGCUGAGGUGCGAAAGCGUGGGGAGCAAACAGG
rnacentral:misc_RNA from 1 species